UUCCUCUUUCAAUGACCCAAGUUCUUGCAAAAGAAGCAUUCUGCAUGGCUCUUGUCGACUUUCGACUUUUUAUCCUGCUUUGGCUUUGGAUCAACGGUAUGACUCUUCUGCAUCAUUUUCUUCUUUCCUCUUUUAGAGGAACAACGACCUACAGACGAUCCUCCCACAACAUGCAAUGGCUCCUUCCGAAGCUGAUGGUCCUUCUCGAAUGUCUGCAGCAACCUUAGCAAAUCAUGGUAGUUCAUUACAGGCUUGGUCAUUUUAUAAUGACUCAAAAAGGAUAGGUAGAACUUCGAUAGCGAGUUUAGAAUAGCAUCC
rnacentral:lncRNA from 1 species